GACGAACGCUGGCGGCGUGCUUAACACAUGCAAGUCGAACGGAAAGGCCCUGCUUUUGUGGGGUGCUCGAGUGGCGAACGGGUGAGUAACACGUGAGUAACCUGCCCUUGACUUUGGGAUAACUUCAGGAAACUUGGGCUAAUACCGGAUAGGAGCUCCUGCUGCAUGGUGGGGGUUGGAAAGUUUCGGCGGUUGGGGAUGGACUCGCGGCUUAUCAGUUUGUUGGUGGGGUAGUGGCUUACCAAGGCUUUGACGAGUAGCCGGUCUGAGAGGGUGACCGGCAACAUUGGGACUGAGAGACGGCCAAGACUCCUACGGGAGGCAGAAGUGGGGAAUAUUGCACAAUGGGCGGAAGCAGGAUGCAGCAACGCCGCGUGCGGGAUGACGGCAUUCGGGUUGUAAACCGCUUUCGCCUGUGACGAAGCGUGAGUGACGGUAAUGGGUAAAGAAGCACCGGCUAACUACGUG
rnacentral:rRNA from 1 species